rnacentral:rRNA from 1 species
ACCAGACUCCUACGGGAGGCAGCAGUGGGGGAUAUUGCACAAUGGGGGAAACCCUGAUGCAGCGACGCCGCGUGUGGGAAGACGGUCCCCUGGAUUGUAAACCACUGUCCCCAGGGACGAAAAUGACGGUACCUGGGGAGGAAGCUCCGGCUAACUACGUGCCAGCAGCCGCGGUAAUACGUAGGGGGCAAGCGUUAUCCGGAUUUACUGGGUGUAAAGGGGGCGCAGACGGCAGCGCAAGCCAGGAGUGAAAGCCCGGGGCCCAACCCCGGGACUGCUCUUGGAACUGCGCGGCUGGAGUGCAGGAGGGGCAGGCGGAAUUCCUGGUGUAGCGGUGAAAUGCGUAGAUAUCAGGAGGAACACCGGUGGCGAAGGCGGCCUGCUGGACUGCGACUGACGUUGAGGCCCGAAAGCGUGGGGAGCAAACAGGAUUAGAUACCCUCGUAU